rnacentral:rRNA from 1 species
UACGAAGGGACCUAGCGUAGUUCGGAAUUACUGGGCUUAAAGAGUUCGUAGGUGGUUGAAAAAGUUGGUGGUGAAAUCCCAGAGCUUAACUCUGGAACUGCCAUCAAAACUUUUCAGCUAGAGUAUGAUAGAGGAAAGCAGAAUUUCUAGUGUAGAGGUGAAAUUCGUAGAUAUUAGAAAGAAUACCAAUUGCGAAGGCAGCUUUCUGGAUCAUUACUGACACUGAGGAACGAAAGCAUGGGUAGCGAAGAGGAUUAGAUACCCUCGUAGUCCAUGCCGUAAACGAUGUGUGUUAGACGUUGGAAAUUUAUUUUCAGUGUCGCAGCGAAAGCGAUAAACACACCGCCUGGGGAGUACGACCGCAAGGUUAAAACUCAAAUGAAUUGACGGGGACCCGCACAAGUAGUGGAGCAUGUGGUUUAAUUCGAAGAUACGCGCAGAACCUUACCAACACUUGACAUGUUCGUCGCGACUCUAAGAGAUUAGAGUUUUCGGUUCGGCCGGACGAAACACAGGUGCUGCAUGGCUGUCGUCAGCUCGUGUCGUGAGAUGUUGGGUUAAGUCCCGCAACGAGCGCAACCCUCACUUUUAGUUGCCAUCAUUAAGUUGGGCACUCUAAUAGAACUGCCAGUGAUAAGCUGGAGGAAGGUGGGGAUGACGUCAAGUCCUCAUGGCCCUUACGUGUUGGGCUACACACGUGCUACAAUGGUAUCUACAACAGGAAGCAAGACGGCGACGUCAAGCAAAUCCUUAAAAGAUACCUCAGUUCGGAUUGCACUCUGCAACUCGAGUGCAUGAAGCUGGAAUUACUAGUAAUCGUGGAUCAGCGUGCCACGGUGAAUGCGUUCCCGGGUCU